rnacentral:rRNA from 1 species
UACGGAGGGGGCUAGCGUUGUUCGGAAUUACUGGGCGUAAAGCGCACGUAGGCGGCUUUGCAAGUUAGAGGUGAAAGCCCGGGGCUCAACUCCGGAAUUGCCUUUAAAACUGCAUCGCUAGAAUUGUGGAGAGGUAAGUGGAAUUCCGAGUGUAGAGGUGAAAUUCGUAGAUAUUCGGAAGAACACCAGUGGCGAAGGCGACUCACUGGACACAUAUUGACGCUGAGGUGCGAAAGCGUGGGGAGCAAACAGG